GGAUGUACUUUGGGCAGGCGUGCCACUACUCUCUCGCCCCGGCACUCGAAUGUCAAAUAGGGUGGCAGCUGGGCUGCUUCGUGCACUUGGGCUUCA
rnacentral:ribozyme from 1 species